CUUUUUUAAUACGUUAUAUUAAAUUGAUAUGGUUAGUUUAUUAUGAUGCGUUUUUAUGAUUUAUCAUAUUUAUUUAUUUUUGAUAUUUGCAUUGUAUGUGAAACCUGCCUGAAUUUUUUGUCAUUGUUUAAAUAUUCAGUGUUGAUCGUUUACCUGUACCCACGAAGAUUGGUAUCCAAUGAACAAUAGUGAAUCCACAGUAUAUCUGAACUCUUGUAUGUUGACAUACAAAGACUGUUUUAAUAUUUUAAUAUUUGUUAUAUAAACUGUGUAAACUGGACAUUUGUCUAGUAGUGGGGACAAGCAAUUAGAUUUGAAAAUGUUUUCUGUAGACAGGUUUCAUCAUAUAUCAUUGUUG
rnacentral:lncRNA from 1 species